rnacentral:rRNA from 1 species
AAUGAACGCUGGCGGCAGGCUUAACACAUGCAAGUCGAACGAGAACGCACCUUCGGGUGUUAUUAGAGUGGCAAACGGGUGAGUAACACGUGGGAACGUACCUUUCAGUCUAGGAUAGCCCCGGGAAACUGGGAUUAAUACUGGAUAUUCUCUACGGAGGAAAGAUUUAUCGCUGAAAGAUCGGCCCGCGCUAGAUUAGCUUGUUGGUAAGGUAACGGCUUACCAAGGCUACGAUCUAUAGCUGGUCUGAGAGGAUGAUCAGCCACACUGGGACUGAGAUACGGCCCAGACUCCUACGGGAGGCAGCAGUGAGGAAUAUUGGACAAUGGAGGAAACUCUGAUCCAGCCAUGCCGCGUGAGUGAUGAAGGCCUUCGGGUUGUAAAACUCUUUCGCGAGGGAAGAUAAUGACGGUACCUCGAUAAGAAGCUCCGGCUAAC